GAGGCGGCUCGCGGCGGCGCAACGGCCUAGGGCCGGGCCCGGCAGAUGGCGGCCCUUCUGAGGGGAGCGGGACGGUGGCUGGUGGCGGCCGGGAAAAGCAGGGUGCCGCCCGGACACCCUUCGUCUGGCGUGUGGGCCCCGUCCCUACGGCAAGGAGACAUCCUCGUUUUACAGCCCGGCCCCGGAGGAGGCCGGCAGAGGAGGCCCCGGAGGAGGGCAGAGACGUUUUUAAGCUCAGGCCUCGUGAGUGAGCACAGCGAGCCGUUGGGGAUUUGGGUCAGGGAGAGCCGGGAAACGCUUUACUCAAUCCCAUUUGUGAAUUAAACUAAAGCAUGGGCUUAGCAUCCAUUCUGCAGGUUUAAUGAAGUUUUAACGGGUGGGGCCUGGCUCUCGUUAACUUGGAUGAACUUUCCGGAGUGCUCCAGGGUGGGGAACUUCAAAGGACGCUUGCGAGGCCCCCGGCCAAGCUACAAGCUGCUGUCUCCCAACUGCCAGGCUAGGCCUCCAGCCCUCCUGGCCCGAGAGAUUCCUGCUUCUCUUCCCUCUUCCUGGCGCUACUGAGGAAUACUUAGCCUCUUUGUGCUUCCCGUGAAAACCUGGUGGUGGUCCUGAAAAAUAGGCAAACAAUUAUUUAAAAUCUGUCUGAAACCUGGGCUGUUUCAACAACCUUUUUAUAAAAACAAAGUAUUAAUUGUUAAAAGCUUGGUACUUGUGAAAGCAGCAUUUCUCCUGCCAAGAAUUUUUUGCUCUCAUAGGACAGAGGCAAUGUAAAUCUAACAAAGCACAUGGAGCAAAGACUUUGGAAAGAUUUACCCAGUUAUUUGACAGGCAGAGGAAUUGCCUCAUUUUGCUUUCUAUUUUAAUAACGAGCUGCUCUUCUCACUUCCCUGGAUUGAACAGGCUGAUCUCACCAGUAAGCUAUUUUUCCACUCAAGCAUCUGCCCAGCCAACUUGGAGUGAGACUGUAACGGCAGGCUGGGUUCUUUUAUUGUUGAGCAGUAAUUAAGAUCCCAGAUGUUGCAGAUCUGCACCUGUACAGCCUUAUUUUUAUCAGCCAGGCAGGCACGGCUGUAACUGCAGCUGGAAUGUAACACAGCAGCAUUACUUACUGCGUGGCUGACUGCAUUCUGCUGAUGCGACAGUUGCCUGCUGCAUCAGACGUUGCCACUGCUAGUAACAGGCCACAUGCUUUGAACUGAGUUUGCAAGGCCUCACACUGAGUCAUGCUGGGCUUGCUUCAGCUGCAUAUUAGCUGACCUGCGUGCAAGGUUGUUUUUUUUAACUUAGCUGUAACAGCAUUUUUUCUACUGACCAGGUGAUUAUAGAUUUGUUUUUAUUUUUGCUUAUUCUUGUAUGUUACACCAUGGUUGUGUACAGACAGGAGUAACAAGUAGUUGUUCUGUGUAGAACAAGUUACAACCAACAUAAUGGUGUAGCGUGGAGAAAUACAGGCCUGUGAUAAUAGCAGAGGCCUUGAGAGGGAAAUGCAGGAUGCGGUGGGGAGGAGUGCAGGCACAAGAUGACAAAUGAUGAGACGCAGUCUUGCCGCUGGAGACCCCGCAGCUGUAAAUAAAUCAAAUCUUUUUCCAUUAAAGAGAAAUACAGACCUAGAGUUGGACAAAACCACAUUUUUAUGAAUAAUGGAACAAAGAACAAGUUUCUAGCAUAUGCAAGAUAUAUAAUGUACUGUAAAUUUGGAUAUCAUGUGGACUUGCAAACCAGUGAUGAAACAGCAAGGUGUGAAAGGCUGCUGGCAAACAUAAAAAAGACCCCAAGUGGAUCCCAGAGUGAGAAGGGUGCAGCCAUCAGCAUCACAGCAAAACAUCCCAUGAUGUGGUGACCAGCCUUCGUACCCCUGCCACCAGGCUGAAGCCACCAACCUGAAGAUCACAAGAAGCAGUGGUGGGGUGAGCAUAACACCUGGAAAGGGAGAAGAAGCUAGGAAGUACCCAGGAGAGAAAGUACCUUCCAAUGGUGCCAUGUGCUCCUCUCACUGGAAUGAUGCUAGCAACAGCUCAGCAACCAGCUUGAUCUCCUGGGCCAGAGCCUGAGACAGCCACUUCUGGUGACCUCGGCAGAACCCCUACAAACAUGCCAACUUCUUCAGAUGUAUUCGGUGUCACACCCCUGCUCAGUGGAUUUCAAAUGCCCAGUGCAUGGGCCUCUGCAAGCCACCCUCCUCUAGGGCUCACCUUAUCCUCACAUUGACUUAGGAGGACUUUUGCUCCUCUAAGAACUAGGCAUGUACUGAGCGCCAGCUGAGGGUUUCUCCCAGAAAAAGGUAUAUAGACUGAGCUCAGCUUUAAAGGACAUCAGCAUAAUGCAGGACAGGCAGGUUAACAACUUCAGGAUUUGAAUUCAGUAUUUCGAAAACUUUGUCCAGUAAAAAUCCUCACAAAGAAGGGUAGGAUUGCAUAGACAGCUGUGGUUCGAGUCACUUCAUUUGGUCCCAGCUAGCAAAGUUCAAAACCCAAAGCAAAUUCUUAGUGAUUUUCAGAAGAUUUAAAAAGCUGAAGUGACAUUAUGUAUGUUAAUCAAACAGCACAAACCAGUUCCCCUGCAAACUUCUGAAUGCUAAGCACAAGUGUUAAAUAAAACUACCUUUGCAGUGGAUUUCAUCUUUGUAUAGACCUCAUUUAACACUGUGUGACACUACGACAGCCAAAUAUUUCUGUCUUUUUGGAACGAACAUAUAAAUUGAUUUAGUUCUCUCAACAGAAUGGUUUUAAUGGCAUAGAAGGCAAUAGGUAUUACUGCCUGAAGAACUCUUUUUAUUAUUUAGAAGCCUAGCUCUCCACACAUCAAGAAAUUCUUUGGCAUUUAUUCCUCCAAGCCGAUGAGAUGUUCGGCCAGUGAAUAUUCACUUUCCUCCCAAAGAGGACUGCUUUUCCCAGGGCUCCUUACAACACCCCCUGCGUCCCCAGCGAGUGCCUGCUGGCACACACAGACGUGCCACACCAAGCGUGGCAACCCCAGGCUCAACCUAUAGCUGCAAAUUAAGUUCAGUUUUCACAGCUAGAAUAAAGUGGAAUUAGUAAAUCAAUCUACCCAUGGAUGAGGACUUCAAGCAGUUGCAUUAUUUAGAAAGGUUUCACUUUUAUUUGCAGUAAGACUAUCUGCACCUACUGAUGUUGCAAAUGUCGUAGUAAGUUACAGCCCCUUAGAAAGGGAACCUUAAGGGCAGGUUAAAAAGAAGAAUAUGAAUGGCUUCUGUUCCAGUAGCAUCCUUUACCCAAAGACAAAUUAACAUAUUACACAGAGGAGGAGAAGCAGCAGCAUCAAGUAUUACAUUGGCCUGGUUUUGAAAACACUUGGCUAGCAGGACUCAGGGCAAAUUCCAACCUUAUUAUCUUCAAAAACACAAUUAAUGAGACAUCCUAUAAGGAAGGGCUUGAUGCAGAAGAGUGGCAGCUACUUAAGUCCUUCUUAUCUUUUGAACUCAAAUACACAGUUUUGGUUUCCUUGCCAUUUAAACAAGGAAAGUACCACAUUAAUUAAAAAAAAAGAGAAAGAACUUUACUGAAAAAGCCACGUGGGCUUGCCUGUAUCUAGCAGCAGCCAACCAAGUGUGCCUGGACUUCUGCUUACUCAACAGAGGAAAUAGUCAUGCCCAGAAAGUAAAAAUGAGGGAAGACAGAAUACUUGCUAGUGCAUCUGACACCAAAGACAUCUUCAUCAAUUCAGUGAGGUACUUGAGCCUGAAAACACGGUUAAAAGCAAGAACUCCCAUUAGAAUAGUCUGUUACAGAAAGUUAAAAAAAUGUAACAGCCUAAAAAUGGUAAGAGAAUUCCCACCAUCUUCUUCUCCACCCAGAAGCGUCCAGGUGAUGACAAUUGAGCUCCCGAGCGGAAUCGCAGUAUUCCAGCUGCAGGCCUGGCACAGGGCUGGGCUCAGGGGGGGAAGGAGGAAGCUUUUAUACCUUUGUGAUCACCGUCCAGUCUUCUGCCCAGAGAGACUCCAUCUGCUGCCAGCACAACACCAUCGCCCAGCUUCAGAAACCAUCUCCAGCUCCACCACCCGCUUUUACAUUAAACUUCUGAUACGUCAGUGCUGUACAGAUCAUGCCAGCUCAAUUUGUUAUGCAAAUCAUGCAUAUCAAAACAGUCCGGUAGUGAAAUAAUUUAUGCGAAAGGCUAUGACUCCCAAAUCUUCUACAGAAGCUUCACAGUUGUCCUGUUUAUCUGAAAAUGCUGAUGUCAUCUCAGAGCAUCCACACAUAAUGCUUACAGUACGUAUCUACCAAUAAAAUAACCAAAAGGAAA